rnacentral:rRNA from 1 species
UACGGAGGGUGCAAGCGUUGUUCGGAAUUAUUGGGCGUAAAGCGCACGUAGGCGGGGUCGUAUGUCGAUUGUGAAAGCCCCAGGCUCAACCUGGGAAUUGCAGCCGAAACUGCGACUCUUGAAUAUCUGAGAGGGUGGGGGAAUUGCUGGUGGAGUAGUGAAAUACGUAGAGAUCAGCAGGAACACCUGAGGCGAAGGCGCCUGCCUGGCAGAAUAUUGACGCUGAGGUGCGAAAGCGUGGGGAGCAAACAGG